AAGAUAUGAGAUGCGGAGAGGUUAAUCAACUUGCCUAAGGUAGCAAUGGCUGCAAAAGGAUGGAGCCACUCCAGAGUCUGUGUCCCUAAUCCUGUCACUCAGCCUUGAGGAGGAAGACCUUUGUGGACCCUGAAAUAUCUAAUACCCCUAUCCCACCCUUGCAAAAUACCACUUGAAAGAAAAGGAGAGAAAAAUGAAGUUGAAUCAAGAUUAAGAAGAACAUGUGCUCAAAAAAGUUCCUAACCUGCCCAGGGCCAUGUGGCUGGUAAGUGGCUGAGCCAGUAAAUUUUUAUUACAAUCUGUUGGAAUCUAAACCCAUGUUGUUGGCCACACUGUGCAUGCCCAGAUCA